GGAAACUUAGCUCAGUUAGUAGAGUAUGAGACUCUAAAUAUCAGGGCUGUGGGUCUGAGUCCCACAUUGGGCAAAAGAUCCU